rnacentral:rRNA from 1 species
GGCCUAACACAUGCAAGUCGAGCGGCAGCGCGGGGCAACCUGGCGGCGAGCGGCGGACGGGUGAGGAAUGCAUCGGAAUCUACCCUGUCGUGGGGGAUAACGUAGGGAAACUUACGCUAAUACCGCAUACGACCGAGAGGUGAAAGCAGGGGACCGCAAGGCCUUGCGCUCACGGAGCGGCCGAUGGCAGAUUAGGUAGUUGGUGGGAUAAAAGCUUACCAAGCCGACGAUCUGUAGCUGGUCUGAGAGGACGACCAGCCACACUGGGACUGAGACACGGCCCAGACUCCUACGGGAGGCAGCAGUGGGGAAUUUUGGACAAUGGGCGCAAGCCUGAUCCAGCCAUGCCGCGUGCAGGAUGAAGGCCUUCGGGUUGUAAACUGC